rnacentral:rRNA from 1 species
AGAGUUUGAUCAUGGCUCAGGACGAACGCUGGCGACGCGCUUAAUACAUGCAAGUCGAACGAGACCCAGAAGGUGCUUAGCAUCAUCUGGUGAGAGUGGCGAACGGGUGAGUAUCGCGUGAGAAACCUGCCUCAAAGAUUGGGACAACAGAAGGAAACUUCUGCUAAUACCGAAUACCUUCUUUUUUACGCCUGUAUAAAAGAAGAAAUGCUCCGGCGCUUUGAGAUGGUCUCGCGUCCUAUCAGCUUGUUGGUGAGGUAAAAGCUCACCAAGGCAUCGACGGGUAGCUGGUCUGAGAGGAUGUCCAGCCACACUGGAACUGAGACACGGUCCAGACUCCUACGGGAGGCAGCAGUAGGGAAUCUUGCACAAUGAGGGAAACCUUGAUGCAGCGACGCCGCGUGCGGGACGAAGGCCUUAGGGUUGUAAACCGCUUUCAGUAGGGAAGAAAGUGACGGUACCUACAGAAGAAGCCCCGGCCAAAUAUGUGCCAGCAGCCGCGGUGAUACAUAUGGGGCGAGCGUUGUCCGGAUUCAUUGGGUGUAAAGGGUGCGAAGGCGGUCGUCUAAGUCGAAGGUGAAAUGUCUACGGCUCAACCGAGGCAUUGCCUCCGAUACUGGACGACUUGAGUGCGGAAGGGGAGCGUGGAAUUCCUGGUGUAGCGGUGAAAUGCGUAGAUAUCAGGAGGAACACCGGUGGCGAAGGCGACGCUCUGGUCCGCAACUGACGCUCAUGCACGAAAGCCAGGGGAGCGAACGGGAUUAGAUACCCCGGUAGUCCUGGCCGUAAACGUUGGGCACUAGGUGUGGGAGGUAUCGACCCCUUCCGUGCCGUAGCUAACGCAUUAAGUGCCUCACCUGGGGAGUACGACCGCAAGGUUGAAACUCAAAGGAAUUGACGGGGGCCCGCACAAGCGGUGGAUCAUGUGGUUUAAUUCGAUGCAACGCGAAGAACCUUACCCGGGCUUGAAGUGCAGGAAGUACAGAGAUGAAAGUCGACGGACCCGUAAAGUCGGGAACCUGCAGAGGUGCUGCAUGGCUGUCGUCAGCUCGUGUCGUGAGAUGUUCGGUUAAGUCCGCUAACGAGCGCAACCCUUGCCGCGUGUUACAUGUGUCACGCGGGACCGCCGGUAUUAAGCCGGAGGAAGGAGGGGAUGAUGUCAAGUCAUCAUGGCCUUUAUGCCCAGGGCUACACACGUGCUACAAUGGGCGCUACAAAGGGUUGCUACUUGGUGACAAGAUGCUAAUCUCAAAAAAGCGCUCUCAGUUCGGAUCGAAGUCUGCAACUCGACUUCGUGAAGCUGGAAUCGCUAGUAAUCGUAUAUCAGCAAUGAUACGGUGAAUACGUUCCCGGACCUUGCACACACCGCCCGUCAAGCCAUGGAAGCCGGGUGUACCUGAAGUCGGUAACCGCAAGGAGCCGCCUAGGGUAAGACCGGUAACUGGGGCUAAGUCGUAACAAGGUAGCCG